AACCAGGUCCUGCUGUUAUAGGCUUCAAA
rnacentral:sRNA from 1 species